CUUGGUCAUUUAGAGGAAGUAAAAGUCGUAACAAGGUUUCCGUAGGUGAACCUGCGGAAGGAUCAUUAUCGUAGGGCUUCGGCCCUGUCGAGAUAGAACCCUUGCCUUUUUGAGUACCUUUCGUUUCCUCGGCAGGCUCGCCUGCCAAUGGGGACCACAAAAAACACUUUGCAGUACCUGUAAUAGUCUGAACAAACAAACAAAAAUUAAAACUUUCAACAACGGAUCUCUUGGUUCUGGCAUCGAUGAAGAACGCAGCGAAAUGCGAUAAGUAGUGUGAAUUGCAGAAUUCAGUGAAUCAUCGAAUCUUUGAACGCACAUUGCGCCCUUUGGUAUUCCUUAGGGCAUGCCUGUUCGAGCGUCAUUUAAACCUUCAAGCUAAGCUUGGUGUUGGGUGACUGUCCGCUUCACUGCGGUCUCGCCUCAAAAUUAUUGGCGGCCGGUACAUUGGCUUCGAGCGCAGCAGAAACGCGAACUCGGGCCCGUCGUAUUGGCUCCCAGAAGCUAUCUUCACAAUUUUGACCUCGGAUCAGGUAGGGAUACACGCUGAACUUAAGCAUAUCAAUAAGCGGAGGA
rnacentral:rRNA from 1 species